rnacentral:rRNA from 1 species
GUAGGGAAUCUUCCACAAUGGGCGCAAGCCUGAUGGAGCAACACCGCGUGAGUGAAGAAGGGUUUCGGCUCGUAAAGCUCUGUUGUUAAAGAAGAACACGUAUGAGAGUAACUGUUCAUGCGUUGACGGUAUUUAACCAGAAAGUCACGGCUAACUACGUGCCAGCAGCCGCGGUAAUACGUAGGUGGCAAGCGUUAUCCGGAUUUAUUGGGCGUAAAGAGAGUGCAGGCGGUUUUCUAAGUCUGAUGUGAAAGCCUUCGGCUUAACCGGAGAAGUGCAUCGGAAACUGGAUAACUUGAGUGCAGAAGAGGGUAGUGGAACUCCAUGUGUAGCGGUGGAAUGCGUAGAUAUAUGGAAGAACACCAGUGGCGAAGGCGGCUGUCUGGUCUGUAACUGACGCUGAGGCUCGAAAGCAUGGGUAGCGAACAGGAUUAGAAACCCCAGUAGUCC